GCAUGUGAGAGUGAUCUGGCUAUGCCAUCUGCAACCUCAUUGAUUACAAGGGUUGAUCUGGCUGAUGAAGCAGGUGUCCCCGUCCUCCCUCAACACUCCAUAUGCGUCCCUCCCAAAACUGAGCUCUGUGGAAGAGGAACACCUUCCCCAAUAGAGGCUAGUUCUUUGUUCAUAGAUAUGCUAGUUGCUGUACUCCCCUUCUAGAAUCUUCAGACAAGCUCUCAAAAGACAGAGCCUCCCUCCUUUUCACACUGCCCUACACUUUUUUCCUACAUUUAAAG
rnacentral:sRNA from 1 species